UACGGGGGGGGCAAGCGUUGUUCGGAAUUACUGGGCGUAAAGGGCUCGUAGGCGGCCAACUAAGUCAGACGUGAAAUCCCUCGGCUUAACCGGGGAACUGCGUCUGAUACUGGAUGGCUUGAAUCCGGGAGAGGGAUGCGGAAUUCCAGGUGUAGCGGUGAAAUGCGUAGAUAUCUGGAGGAACACCGGUGGCGAAGGCGGCAUCCUGGACCGGCAUUGACGCUGAGGAGCGAAAGCCAGGGGAGCAAGCGGG
rnacentral:rRNA from 1 species